rnacentral:piRNA from 1 species
UAACAAAUCGGGAAGGUGACAGAGU